ACAGUAGCUCCCACAAGGGUAGAGCAUCCGCCUGAUGUGCGGAAGGUCAUAGGUUCAACUCCUGUUGGGAGAA